rnacentral:rRNA from 1 species
UGGGGAAUCUUGGACAAUGGGGGCAACCCUGAUCCAGCCAUGCCGCGUGAGUGAUGAAGGCCUUAGGGUCGUAAAGCUCUUUCGCCUGUGAAGAUAAUGACGGUAGCAGGUAAAGAAACCCCGGCUAACUCCGUGCCAGCAGCCGCGGUAAUACGGAGGGGGUUAGCGUUGUUCGGAAUUACUGGGCGUAAAGCGCACGUAGGCGGACCAGAAAGUUGGGGGUGAAAUCCCGGGGGCUCAACCCCGGAACUGCCUCCAAAACUAUUGGUCUAGAGUUCGAGAGAGGUGAGUGGAAUUCCAAGUGUAGAGGUGAAAUUCGUAGAUAUUUGGAGGAACACCAGUGGCGAAGGCGGCUCACUGGCUCGAUACUGACGCUGAGGUGCGAAAGUGUGGGGAGCAAACAGGAUUAGAUACCCUGGUAGUCCACACCGUAAACGAUGAAUGCCAGUCGUCGGGUAGCAUGCUAUUCGGUGACACACCUAACGGAUUAAGCAUUCCGCCUGGGGAGUACGGU